rnacentral:rRNA from 1 species
UACGUAGGCAGCGAGCGUUGUUCGGAGUUACUGGGCGUAAAGGGUGUGUAGGCGGUUGUUUAAGUUUGGUGUGAAAUCUCCCGGCUCAACUGGGAGGGUGCGCCGAAUACUGAAUGACUUCGAGUGCGGGAGAGGAGAGUGGAAUUCCUGGUGUAGCGGUGAAAUGCGUAGAUAUCAGGAGGAACACCGGUGAUGUAGACGGCUCUCUGGACCGUAACUGACGCUGAGACACGAAAGCGUGGGUAGCAAACAGG